rnacentral:rRNA from 1 species
UACCAGCACCCCGAGUGGUCGGGACGUUUAUUGGGCCUAAAGCAUCCGUAGCCGGUUCUGCAAGUCUUCCGUUAAAUCCACCUGCUUAACAGAUGGGCCGCGGAAGAUACUAUAGAGCUAGGAGGCGGGAGAGGCAAGCGGUACUCGAUGGGUAGGGGUAAAAUCCGUUGAUCCAUUGAAGACCACCAGUGGCGAAGGCGGCUUGCCAGAACGCGCUCGACGGUGAGGGAUGAAAGCUGGGGGAGCAACGG